AGCCUGCUUCUCUCCAUGUAGAGAUACUCUUCUGAGUUGUGCUCUCUGCAGUGCACCUCCCUUGGAAGAGAGGGAGCCAGACUUCUGUUUCCAGUGCAACACAAAUAUGAAUUUCUUUGUGCUCAUUCACAGGGGGAUGAUUUUGCAAACGAUCAUUUACCAUCAGGCUGGUUAAUCAUUUCAUGGCUAUCAGCACCCCGCCUUUCUGCAUCUCAUUUGAGGAUGAUUUCUCUACAUCACAGGUAGUAAAACCCAGUCGGUCUCGUUAUGCAAUUCAAGCAGGCAGCUCAGAGCCAAACCUCUGCUCCUGUCUUUUUUUCUGUGAAGACAAGACUCAUCACCUGGGAUUUGUUGACCUGCAGAGGAAAGAAGCUGAUCUUUCUUCUCAGCUCUGUGGGAGUCCCUAAUGCCAAGACACACUUCACUGGGAAAUCAAUAUAAAUAAAAAGCAGUGAAAUGUCUUUGUUGUGAAGCAACCUCUUUGCAUCGCUUGUGAGCUCAUGCAGAGGGCACAUCCCAAUCGCCAGCCUAACUGAGCAAGUAGCAACACCAUCGAUUCAGAGUCCAUCUUACUUCACAUCCUCUCCUGCACAUCGAUUCAGCCUUAUUCCCCAUCUCAGCUUGUCCCCUAUGGUCAAUUGAUUAAUCAUCAAUAUUACUCACCAAAGGCAGCUACAAUUAAACAGGCAUUAGAUGACUUCCCCUCACGUUUAAUAGCACCGAGCUCAAUCAGAUACCUAACACUUUGCCUUCCUUGGAAAAUUUUAACCGAUAUCCAGUUGAAAUCAAAUUCUGUAAAUUUGGCAGGGCAAUUGAUCACAGUGCACAAAGGUUCAGACUACUGAAUUUCCAGAAUGUGAGCCUGUAGGUUUCUGUGCAGAGCAGCAUUUCAGUUCUUGGAACCUCUUUUUGUUUAAUAUUGUCAUGAGAUGUACUGUGGCACUGUAUAAUACAAUAAUGAUGUUGGU